UUCUAGCGCUCCAGUCAUCCUAUAAAGGUAGGAAGCGCCAGCUAGCUUAACUCCGAACCCUGCUACAUUGAGUUAUGGUUAGCAUGCUAACCUUGGUUAUGUAUUAGCUGUGGCUAGCUGGCUUAAGUCUGCGCAAUUGGGCCCAGCCUUUAUAAUUUUUUCCUCAGCAGAAGUUUAGAUCUCUCUUGUCAGACAUCUCCUCAGUUUUGUGACAAAAUUAGCAUUUCUCUGACGUAUUCCACGUGCUGCAUCCUGGACGGCCUGCGUGAACUCUGCGGUCAAAGAGGAAGUUGAACAAGUAUGACAGAAAUAGCUGGAGAAAUUGAGAACCACAGAGUCUGCCCGAGUAAACACGACACACUGCCUCCUGGAUGGAAACGGCGAGGUGUCACACUGAACACUAAUAAAGGCCAGAGUGAAAGUGAACCUGAGGAUGUUACCUGAAACGUCGUGUUCCAGUGUGUGUUAGGAAACUGCGUCACGAUCUCCUUGGCAACCGGGUUUAGCCAACAAUAGAGGGGAAGAGCUCAGACCUCAAAAGGUAACAAACUUCUUAAUUCUGUGUAAAACAGUUUAUAUGUAUUUGAUCACUUAUAUAGCACAGCAGCUAUUUGCAAUAAUCCUUAGUCAAGUUAUGAUGUAAUGUGUCCAUAGAUGUUCUCCUAGGCUUGCAUGGACUCCCUCAAACGUGCCUAUUUAUCGCAGAGAACGCUGAUAUUUUUGCUUAGUGUGGAUGCAAAACAUUCCCAUUGUCCCGCGACAAAGAAUGAUUUUACCCUUUUUCUACCCUUACUGUCAGCUUUGUGAGCUCCAUGUCUUAAGGGACAUUGGCUGUUGUUAAAC
rnacentral:lncRNA from 1 species